GGAUCUUUAGCUCAAAUGGUAGAGCACUUGAGAUUAACUCAAGAGACGGUGGUUCAAAUCCACCAAGAUUCU
rnacentral:tRNA from 1 species